ensembl:snRNA U2 U2 spliceosomal RNA
AUCACUUCUUGGCCUUUUGGCUAAGAUCAAGUGUAAUAUAUCCCACAGUGUCCUCUUCCUAAUAUGAGUCAAUUAUUUUAUUAUUUUCAAAUAUCUCAU